AAAGCCAAUCCCUUUGUGAUAUGUGAGCAGACCAAGAACUGGAAAAGUCAUUUCAAUGCACCUUCCCACAUUCACAAGAAGAUUAUGUCUUCCCCACUUUCCAAAGAACUAAGACAGAAAAGAAACGUUCAAUCCGUGUUCAUCCAAAAGGAUAAUAAAGUACAGGUUGUCCAAGGACACUACAAAGGCCAGCAAAUUGGCAAAAUAGUCCAGGUUUAGAGGAAGAAAUAUAUGAUCUACAUUGAACCGAUGCAGCAGGAGAAGGCUAAUGGCACAACUGUCCCUGUGGGAAUUCACCCCAGCAGGAUGGUUGUCACUAAGCUAAAACUGGACAAAGAGUGCAAAAAGAUCCUUGAACCGAAAGGCAAAUCUCACUAAGUACAAAAGGGAAAGGACAAAUUCAAGGAAGAAACAAUUCAGAAGAUGGAGAAG
rnacentral:lncRNA from 1 species